CCCCUCUGUUUUCGGUGGCACUGGUUACCACUUGGGCGCACAGGUGUUGCUGACUGCUGUUAAACUGUCCUCCUUGUCAGCCAGUGUGUGUAGCCAUCACCACACUGGUGACAGGAAAAAAUGAGUCCUGUAUGGUUAUUCCAGUGAGCCAGAUGGCAGUGCCACAUCUCAUACAGCAAACGUGACAACGUCCUCACAAACCUGUGUGGGACCAUUUCCUGUAUGAAGAGCAGCUGGCUCUUAAUGAAGCCAGACAAGAAAAAGACGCAAUUGGAAAACACUCACAGGAACAUGCCUUGGCUCUGCUUUGUUCUAUUGUCAGCUGUGCAUUAAGGUUUAUAAAGUCUCCUGAGUUUAUUGGAUUCAUCAUCUUGGAUUCCUAGACAGUAGCAACAGCAAGAAAUGCCUCUUGAGAAGGAAACUGAACCUUUUGCUCCUGCAUAAGCAUGCAGUCCUGUUUGUCACUGCAGGCUGAAGCUGAUGGCACAAAAACUCCAGAUCUAGUACAGACUCCUUCCAUCAGCGGUUAGCCAGCCAGGAACCUCACCUUGCUUUGUGCUAGUUUUGGGCUGAUGGCCACUUACGACAUGAAGACUGCCAAGUAGCUGAGAAGCAAUUGUUGCAGCCUGCACAGAUGCCACAGCCAAACAUCUGAGGGACUGUCUGUGGAGAGACAGGACCAAAGUGUUCUGGUGCAUGAAGGAUGAGCCCACCUUGGACUUAUUUUCCGAACGUAUUAAUGACCUAUUUGUGCACAAGGAAAAUCUGCCUUAUAGCAUGAGGCAAGAUAAACCAGGCCAGGAAAUCUCUUUUCAAAUCCACAGUACAUCAAAUCUAAAUGAGAGAAAGAGAGGACUUAAUUUGGACGAUGAAGUAUCUUCAUGUAAUUUUUCCUCUAGGCAUCAUAGCAACACUUUCAAAAGAUGCUGGACAUACUGCAAUAAAACUGCUCUUCUACAGCACUGUGGGAGGAAGCAACUGGCUGCAGUCUCAGAUGGUGGACAGAAUUACAACGGGUUAUGUCAGGAAAGCAUGACAUUAAACGUACAUUUGAAAAAAAGGAGAAAACAAAAAACAAUAGUCACCGACUGAAUUAUAGCAGCUUUCUGUAACGAAGUGCGUGGACCCCACCCAGCAUCUGCGGUAGAGGAGGGAAGGUGUCAGUUAAACUCAAAGGUUGUAAUGGGAAUGGAAAAAGCCAGUCUCCAGCUGAGAGUAGGACAGGGAGGAUGAGAAAUACAGUUUCGUGUUUCUCCCAGCAAAACCCCAGGGGAUAAGGAUUACUGCUGCAAAAACUUCCAUGGUAGUAAAAGUCUCUGGCUGCAGAAGUUGUUUAUAACAAAGGUGUAUUAACCACUUAUAGACUUCAGCAGAAAAGGACUCUGACAUUUCACUGAAAUCUGAGUUGCAGAAUACUUUUUUUUUUUUUUUUUUUUUUUUUUUUUUUUUCCUCAAAAAUCCUCUGCAUAUGAAAACUUCAUUUAGUGGCUACACAGGGUGUUUGGCUGUGAACAACUGCAUGCCGUGUGCUGGGGUUGUCUUGAAAACGCCCUACUUUAAUGUCUGGACAGCUGAGCUCAUCACUUGGGUAUUACUGUAUACACUACAUUUUAAAUCCAAUCAUAAGUAUAUUGUACAUCACUUCAUGAUAAUUUCUGAAAAUAACUUUGGACAUGGAGUUAGAUGCUUACUUGCUCUAAAGGACUCUCAACUGCAUAAUUGCACUUGAUAUGUUUCAAACUAGGCAAGAACUAGGCAAUAAUGUUUUCCACAGACAUGCACUUUUCUGCUUGAAAGCUUUCAGUGUGCUCUGGGCAAACAUGAUGUGCAAACUUGGAACUGCUUGAGAUUUAAAAUGAAAGUUGGCAUGAUUCAGAAAGUGUGCACAAGUGGUGGGAUCUGGUUUCUGAUGCAGAGGAUCACUAGGGAGAGUUUAUCAGGCUAGACUGAUGCAAAUCAGCAGCCUUUGUGAGCAUUCCUGCUCACAAACUUGUUCACUGGCAUACUUGUGCAAAGUGAAGAAAAAGGGUUAUAGUCUGCUUGAAAGCUUUUGCAUAGAGAAUUACUCAAGAACACUUGUGUCGGUAUUUACACAUGGGGUUUUUAUUGUUUCAGAUUUACUUCUGAAAGGUAUGAGGGCCAAGGAGGAAAGAAAGAUAAAAUGCUCUCCUGCCUGUAGCUCUUCUGUGGUCUUCUCUUCUGGCUUCUCCUCUUUCACCAAGAAAAAAACAAAAUAACAAACAAAAAAACAAAACAAAACAAAACAAAAAACACAACACUGAGAAGUUGUAAUUCAAUAGCAUAAAACAGACUUAGCAACAAGUGGAAAGUGUGCUGUGCAGAGGUUCAAAACAGAUGCGAAGGGCCUUGCUGGAGAAUAUGAGAGAAGUGUAGCCCAGACUAAUAAAUUAUCCCUGCUGGCUCUGCUGGUGCUGCUCAAGUAUCUCAGCCCUGCACUUCUGGAGCUCAGAGUGCUGUGGUUUGGCUCAGCCAGCCCAAACCAGCCCAAUUUAUGUGUUUAAUCUUAGCACCAGGGUGCCCUGACUGGAGGCAGCAUGAGAGGGCAAGAGCAGCUGCAGAGCCCCCUGAAACUAGAAAGGAUGAGUGGUUGCAGUGAUGGUCCUGGGAUGGACAUGGAAGAGAGGGGCUGAGAGCAGGUAUCAGUAAAGCAUGAGAACAUCACUGGGUUUCUCAAGUGAACUUUAGUUACAUAAAAAUUCAGUCAAUCACUCAAGCAGAGCAUGGGGCACUCUGUAUGCUGGCAGGAGGCAGGCAAGGAAUGAGGAAUGUAUCUGCAGUUGGCAGAGAGGUCUAGGCAGCAAAGAACAGAGGUAAAUUGGUUUCAUUGCUGAUCUUCAUGCUUAAUUUGACUGGGACAAAAAUCUUCUAAGGGAGAUGGGAGUUAUAGUUCCCAUCCCAGCUAAAAAAAAAAAAAUAGUAAUAAUAAAAAAAUAGCACAGUAAUGUUCUGUCCCUCCAUGCAAAAUAGGUCAGCCACAUCCCUCGCCAUGUGCAGCUGAACUUUGUGUUUAUUGAAACAAACCAUCCAAUUUUCAAGCAGCUGAAAGGAGAAUGGAAGGUGUGUCCCAAACCAUCAAAAAAA